UACGUAGGGGGCAAGCGUUGUCCGGAUUAUUGGGCGUAAAGAGCGUGUAGGCGGCCUUACAGGUCAGCUGUGAAACUCGAGGCUCAACCUCGAGACGUCGGUUGAAACCGUAUGGCUAGAGUCCGGAAGAGGAGAGUGGAAUUCCCGGUGUAGCGGUGAAAUGCGCAGAUAUCGGGAAGAACACCCGUGGCGAAGGCGGCUCUCUGGGACGGUACUGACGCUGAGACGCGAAAGCGUGGGGAGCGAACAGG
rnacentral:rRNA from 1 species